rnacentral:rRNA from 1 species
CAGCAGCCGCGGUAAUACGAAGGGGGCUAGCGUUGCUCGGAAUGACUGGGCGUAAAGGGCGCGUAGGCGGCGAUCAAAGUCAGGCGUGAAAUUCCUGGGCUCAACCUGGGGGCUGCGUUUGAUACUUGAUUGCUAGAGUGGGGAAGAGGGUCGUGGAAUUCCCAGUGUAGAGGUGAAAUUCGUAGAUAUUGGGAAGAACACCGGUGGCGAAGGCGGCGACCUGGUCCUUGACUGACGCUGAGGCGCGAAAGCGUGGGGAGCAAACAGGAUUAGAUACCCCAGUAGUCCCUGUCUCUUAUAC